rnacentral:rRNA from 1 species
GCCUGCCACUACUCUGUCUCCUCCACAUCCAUGUUUCGCAGGGUUGGGCCUGGUUAGUACUUGAAUGGGGGACCCCCUGGGAAUACUGGGUGCUGUAGGCU